GACGAACGCUGGCGGCGUGCCUAAUACAUGCAAGUCGAGCGAACCAAUAAGAAGCUUGCUUUUUGUUGGUUAGCGGCGGACGGGUGAGUAACACGUGGGUAACCUGCCUGUAAGACCGGGAUAACUCCGGGAAACCGGUGCUAAUACCGGAUAGAUUAUCUUUCCGCCUGGAGAGAUAAGGAAAGAUGGCUAUUGCCAUCACUUACAGAUGGGCCCGCGGCGCAUUAGCUAGUUGGUGAGGUAACGGCUCACCAAGGCGACGAUGCGUAGCCGACCUGAGAGGGUGAUCGGCCACACUGGGACUGAGACACGGCCCAGACUCCUACGGGAGGCAGCAGUAGGGAAUCUUCCGCAAUGGACGAAAGUCUGACGGAGCAACGCCGCGUGAGUGAAGAAGGUCUUCGGAUCGUAAAGCUCUGUUGUUAGGGAAGAACAAGUAUCGGAGGAAAUGCCGGUACCUUGGCGGUACCUGACGAGAAAGCCACGGCUAACUACGUGCCAGCAGCCGCGGUAAUACGUAGGUGGCAAGCGUUGUCCGGAUUUAUUGGGCGUAAAGCGCGCGCAGGCGGUCCUUUAAGUCUGAUGUGAAAUCUUGCGGCUCAACCGCAAGCGGUCAUUGGAGACUGGGGGACUUGAGUGCAGAAGAGGAAAGCGGAAUUCCACGUGUAGCGGUGAAAUGCGUAGAGAUGUGGAGGAACACCAGUGGCGAAGGCGGCUUUCUGGUCUGUAACUGACGCUGAGGCGCGAAAGCGUGGGGAGCAAACAGG
rnacentral:rRNA from 2 species